rnacentral:lncRNA from 15 species
CUGGAUGUCAUGGGCUCAUCUGGAAUGAUGAUGGGCAGCUGAGCUUGAGCAGCAUGUGGCUGGGUAUCCGGGCCAAUGCUGAUGCCAGAGGAGGUUGGCAGUGGAGUCUGCAGGCCAGAUACCAGGAGCUCAACUGGAAUGAUGGAGGGCUGCGGAGGAUGAGCAGCACGUUGCUGGGUAUCUGGGCCAAUGCUGAUGCCAGAGGAGGUUGGCAGUGGGGUCUGCAGGCCGGAUACCAGGAGCUCAACUGGAAUGAUGGAGGGCUGCGGAACUGGAUGAACAUUCGGCUGAAUAUCCAGUGAGGAUCAUAUUUAUAUAUUGUGUUUUUUUAUGCUUAUAAUCAGUAAACAGUAUAAACUAAACUAUAUGUUAUAUGUACUGUACUAUAAUCCAAUCCAAUCCAAUCCACUUUAUUUAUAUAGCACGAUUUUAACAAACACAAGGUUUCCAAAGUGCUGCACAAAAAGAUAUACAGAAUAAAUAGAUAACACAAUAGAAGCACAAUUUAAAAAAAAGAUGAAGUACACAGUAAAAGAUAAAAGCAAUAAAAUAAAAAUAAAAUAGAAUAAAAUAAAUAAAAUAAAUAAAAAGCACUGCCUGCACAAGAUAAAAAUAUGCAUGUAUACACAUAAAAUCAACGCUCUACAUGGUGUCAAAGGUCGUUUAUCCCUUCUAGGCUACCUUACAAACAUGGCAGUUCAUCUUGACAGACCCCAUGGUAGGUGACCUGCAGCGUCUCUAGAUAUGAAAGGUUAAUAUUAAGUUGACAAAAACACAACAAUACUACUG